AGAGUUUGAUCAUGGCUCAGAUUGAACGCUGGCGGCAUGCUUUACACAUGCAAGUCGAACGGCAGCGCGGGCUUCGGCCUGGCGGCGAGUGGCGAACGGGUGAGUAAUGCAUCGGAACGUACCCAGUCGUGGGGGAUAACACAUCGAAAGAUGUGCUAAUACCGCAUACGUCCUGAGGGAGAGAGCGGGGGACCUUCGGGCCUCGCGCGAUUGGAGCGGCCGAUGUCAGAUUAGCUAGUAGGUGGGGUAAAGGCCCACCUAGGCGACGAUCUGUAGCGGGUCUGAGAGGAUGAUCCGCCACACUGGGACUGAGACACGGCCCAGACUCCUACGGGAGGCAGCAGUGGGGAAUUUUGGACAAUGGGGGCAACCCUGAUCCAGCCAUGCCGCGUGAGUGAAGAAGGCCUUCGGGUUGUAAAGCUCUUUCGGCCGGGAAGAAAUCGCGCUCUUUAAUAGAGGGUGUGGAUGACGGUACCGGACUAAGAAGCACCGGCUAACUACGUGCCAGCAGCCGCGGUAA
rnacentral:rRNA from 1 species